GGGGACGGGGCCGUCGGGCGGCUCUUCCCGGCGGCUCCUCGGUUCCGCCGCUCCGGGACGAGGCACCCGCGGGCCGGCCCCGGGGCUCGUUCCCCCCCCCGGCCGAGGCCCUCCCGGGACGCCCAGGAGGGAGCUCGCGGCCGCGGGGCUGAGGCCCCUGCCCGGUGCCGGGCCGUGGGCUCGCCGCCCCGGGCAGUCCCCGUGGUCCCGGCAGGCGCCGGGAGCGGCCCGGGGCUGGCCCCGAGCGGAGCGAACGCCCAACGUCGGGAGCGGGAGGCGAGCCCGCCGCCGGGCUGCGGAGCAGGGCGGGAGCCCCGACCGGGGGGGGCUUCGCUCCACGCUGCUGUUCGCGGGGCGCGGGGUGGGUCCUGCAGCUCGCGGACGGGGCCGCCUCCAGGAUGGGGCCGUUUGAACCGCGUGGGGGAAGGAAGGCGCUCCCGGGAGGCUGGACGGGCUCUUGGGGCGCUGGCUGUUGCCGUUAUCUGUGAAAGCACCGCCAGAGCCGGCUCCGUGGGCAGAUUCCUCGAGCGAAGAAUUGCUGGGGAAGUGCUCUGGGUUGGACGCGAGUUCACCGGGGACUCCCGAGGGAGAAGUGGGGACGCGCAGCAGCGGCGCUGCCCUGACGUCAGGUGUAAUGGGGGAAACUGCCUGAUCUGUUCCGAGUCCUGGGAGGACCGCGAACUGAUUUGCACAAAAACCAAACAAACAGAACGUGAAAUCCACACUGGGGGAGAGCGUCCUCGUGCUGUGUGCCCAACAGCUGGCAGCAAAACCGCCUCUGUGCGUGCUGCGCAGCGGAGGCUGCGGAGGAGCUCGGCCCCUCGCUUUGCCCCCACGUCCCUGCAGAUGGGCCUCCCUCCCGGCCUCCCUCCCGGCGCCGUCCCGGCCAGCCUGCGCCUGACGUCACCGUGUUUACACUGGGCUCGUGGCACGGUUCUGCGAUCAGGAAUGUGGAGAAUGGGGCCUGCGUUGAAUCAUGCGCGGUGCUGUCAGCUCUCUUGUGGUGCUUUCAAGCUGAGGAAAGAAUUGGCUGCACUUGUGCUGAGUUCAGGCCUUUAG
rnacentral:lncRNA from 1 species